AGUCCCGUGGUGUAGCUGGCCAAUCAUCUGGGCCUUUGGAGCCCAGGACGGCGGUUCGAAUCCGCCCGGGACUA
rnacentral:tRNA from 1 species